rfam:Oryza sativa (indica cultivar-group) chromosome 8, whole genome shotgun sequence.
AAAAAGGCAAACCCUAUGUUUCCGUGUCCAACUUUGACUGUCCGUCUUAUAUGAUUUUUUUUUAUAAUUCGUAUUUUCAUUGUUGUUAGAUGAUAAAACAUGAUUAAUAUUUUAUGCGUAACUUAUCUUUUUAAUUUUUUUUAUAAUUUUUUUAAAUAAGAUGAAUGAUCAAAUGUUGGGCACGGAAAUCAGGGUUUAUCUUUUU